rnacentral:rRNA from 1 species
UACAGAGGGUGCGAGCGUUAAUCGGAAUUACUGGGCGUAAAGGGUGCGUAGGUGGUUAAUUAAGUUAGAUGUGAAAUCCCUGGGCUUAACCUAGGAAUUGCAUUUAAUACUGGUUGACUAGAGUGUGGUAGAGGGAAGUGGAAUUUCCGGUGUAGCGGUGAAAUGCGUAGAUAUCGGAAGGAACAUCAGUGGCGAAGGCGACUUCCUGGACCAUUACUGACACUGAGGCACGAAAGCGUGGGGAGCGAACAGG